UUGGCUGGUAUAGGCGUCUGAACCGAACCCGAUCCCAUCUCGAACUCGGCCGGUAAAUCAGACAGCGCCGAUGGUACUAACGCUGAAGCGUUGGAAGAGUAGGUCGUUGUCCAAG
rnacentral:rRNA from 15 species